rnacentral:misc_RNA from 1 species
GCCAAACGAUGUCCUUAUUAACUCCAAUUUCAUCAGAAGCAGACCUUGGGAGCUUCCGUGAAGGUGAAGAUAUUUCUGAGGUGGAUAUGCUGUUGGCUGUGGGUGAGGGUGCAGUGAAGAAGAAAAGGAAACCUAGAAGAGGUGAAGACUUCAAAUUUCGUGAAGCUAUUAUUAAAGCUGACUUCUGGCUUCUGUGGUUUGCGUACUUCUUUGGUGUUGGCUCUGGUGUAACGGUUCUUAAUAAUUUAGCACAGAUUGGAGUUGCACUUGGUGUAAAUGACACAACGAUAUUACUGAGUUUGUUCAGCUUUUGCAAUUUCUUGGGCCG